AUUGAACGCUGGCGGCAGGCCUAACACAUGCAAGUCGAACGGGUGGCGGACGGGUGAGUACUGUCUGGGAACCUGCCCGUUGGAGGUGGAUACCUACUGGGAACGGUAGCUCAUACCGCAUCCAAUCGGAUGUGCCCAGAUGGUCUUAGCUAGUAGGUGGGGGAACGGCUCACCUAGGCGACGAUCCCUAGCUGGUCUGAGAGGAUGACCAGCCACACUGGAACUGAGACACGGUCCAGACUCCUACGGGAGGCAGCAGUGGGGAAUAUUGCACAAUGGGCGCAAGCCUGAUGCAGCCAUGCCGCGUGUAUGAAGAAGGCCUUCGGGUUGUAAAGUACUUUCAGCGAGGAGGCGUUACUCGCAGAAGAAGCACCGGCUAACUCCGUGCCAGCAGCCGCGGUAAUAC
rnacentral:rRNA from 1 species